rnacentral:rRNA from 1 species
UGAGGAAUAUUGGUCAAUGGGCGAGAGCCUGAACCAGCCAAGUAGCGUGCAGGAAGACGGCCCUAUGGGUUGUAAACUGCUUUUAUGUGGGGAUAAAGUGCGUGACGUGUCAUGCAUUGCAGGUACCACAUGAAUAAGGACCGGCUAAUUCCGUGCCAGCAGCCGCGGUAAUACGGAAGGUCCGGGCGUUAUCCGGAUUUAUUGGGUUUAAAGGGAGCGUAGGCUGUCUAUUAAGCGUGUUGUGAAAUAUACCGGCUCAACCGGUGGAUUGCAGCGCGAACUGGUCGACUUGAGUAUGCAGGAAGUAGGCGGAAUUCAUGGUGUAGCGAUGAAAUGCUUAGAUAUCAUGACGAACUCCGAUUGCGCAGGCAGCUUACAGUAGCAUAACUGACGCUGAUGCUCGAAAGUGCGGGUAUCAAACAGG